AGACCACCAGCUAAGGUCCCAAAAUAUAUGUUAAGUGGAAAAGGAUGUGGCGUUGCCCAGACAACUAGGAUGUUGGCUUAGAAGCAGCCAUCAUUUAAAGAGUGCGUAAUAGCUCACUAGUCGAGUGACACUGCGCCGAAAAUGUACCGGGGCUAAACAUAUUACCGAAGCUGUGGAUUGUCCUUUGGACAAUGGUAGGAGAGCGUUCUAAGGGCGUUGAAGCAUGAUCGUAAGGACAUGUGGAGCGCUUAGAAGUGAGAAUGCCGGUGUGAGUAGCGAAAGACGGGUGAGAAUCCCGUCCACCGAUUGACUAAGGUUUCCAGAGGAAGGCUCGUCCGCUCUGGGUUAGUCGGGUCCUAAGCUGAGGCCGACAGGCGUAGGCGAUGGAUAACAGGUUGAUAUUCCUGUACCACCUAUAAUCGUUUUAAUCGAUGGGGGGACGCAGUAGGAUAGGCGAAGCGUGCGAUUGGAUUGCACGUCUAAGCAGUAAGGCUGAGUAUUAGGCAAAUCCGGUACUCGUUAAGGCUGAGCUGUGAUGGGGAGAAGACAUUGUGUCUUCGAGUCGUUGAUUUCACACUGCCGAGAAAAGCCUCUAGAUAGAAAAUAGGUGCCCGUACCGCAAACCGACACAGGUAGUCAAGAUGAGAAUUCUAAGGUGAGCGAGCGAACUCUCGUUAAGGAACUCGGCAAAAUGACCCCGUAACUUCGGGAGAAGGGGUGCUCUUUAGGGUUAACGCCCAGAAGAGCCGCAGUGAAUAGGCCCAAGCGACUGUUUAUCAAAAACACAGGUCUCUGCUAAACCGUAAGGUGAUGUAUAGGGGCUGACGCCUGCCCGGUGCUGGAAGGUUAAGAGGAGU
rnacentral:rRNA from 1 species